rnacentral:rRNA from 1 species
GUCUUUUUGAUAAAUAAUUUAAAGUCUAAUCUGCCCACUGAUAUAUAAUUAAAGGGCUGCAGUAUAUUGACUGUACAAAGGUAGCAUAAUCAUUAGUCUUUUAAUUGAAGACUUGUAUGAAAGAUUUGAUGAAAUAUGAACUGUCUCUAAUUUAUUAAUAAAAAUUAAUUUUUUAAUAAAAAAGUUAAAAUAAUUUAAAAAGACGAGAAGACCCUAUAGAGUUUUAUAAUAAUAAUUUUUUUUUAUAGGAAUAUUUAUAUAAUUGUAUAAAAUAAAAAAAUUAUUUUAUUGGGGUGAUAGAAAAAUUAAAAUAACUUUUUUUAAGUAAAGAUCAUUAAUAAAUGAAUAAUUGAUCCAUUAAUAAUGAUUAAAAGAAAAAAUUACCUUAGGGAUAACAGCGUAAUUUUUUCUUUUAGUUCAAAUAAGAGAAAGAGAUUGCGACCUCGAUGUUGGAUUAAGAUAAAAUUUAAAUGCAAAAGUUUAAAAUUUUGAUCUGUUCGAUCAUUAAAAUCUUACAU